rnacentral:rRNA from 1 species
CUCAGAUUGAACGCUGGCGGCAUGCCUUACACAUGCAAGUCGAACGGUAACAGGUUAAGCUGACGAGUGGCGAACGGGUGAGUAAUAUAUCGGAACGUGCCCAGUCGUGGGGGAUAACUACUCGAAAGAGUGGCUAAUACCGCAUACGACCUGAGGGUGAAAGCAGGGGAUCGCAAGACCUCGCGCGAUUGGAGCGGCCGAUAUCAGAUUAGCUAGUUGGUGGGGUAAAAGCCCACCAAGGCGACGAUCUGUAGCUGGUCUGAGAGGACGACCAGCCACACUGGGACUGAGACACGGCCCAGACUCCUACGGGAGGCAGCAGUGGGGAAUUUUGGACAAUGGACGCAAGUCUGAUCCAGCCAUGCCGCGUGCGGGAAGAAGGCCUUCGGGUUGUAAACCGCUUUUGUCAGGGAAGAAACGCUCUGGGCUAAUACCCUGGGGUAAUGACGGUACCUGAAGAAUAAGCACCGGCUAACUACGUGCCAGCAGCCGCGGUAAUACGUAGGGUGCAAGCGUUAAUCGGAAUUACUGGGCGUAAAGCGUGCGCAGGCGGUUAUGCAAGACAGAUGUGAAAUCCCCGGGCUCAACCUGGGAACUGCAUUUGUGACUGCAUGGCUAGAGUACGGUAGAGGGGGAUGGAAUUCCGCG